UCACCUACUUGGUCUCUUUAUCCCUACCACUUCUAGUACGGGCCGUUGAGUUUUUUGAAACUAGAAGACUGGAAAGAGUUAAUGCUAAUUGUUCUUUAGUGGUCGUGAGAAAUGUAAGCAGAGUGCAGGUCUUCUUAGAAAGGAACUCUAUUUUAGGAAACUGACUCAUUCAUGGGCAAAGACUAGAUCAUUCUUGCAAAGAAUGGAAAGAGUAAUACCAUUCUUUGCACAUGGCAGUAAUUUUGUCAUUUAGAGCCUUUGUUUAACAUUACAUGUUGGGCUUGGAUUUUAGUUGCAUAUUACCUGUAUUCUCAUUGCCUAUGUCAUUAUAUUUGGUAAAAAGUGUUCUUCUAUUGUGGGAUAUAUUCUUGUUUGACUUUUCCAUCUGAUUAGGAAACCUAUCCUUCCCCAACAUGCUCUUAACACCAUAGAUUUCUUCACAUUCUGUCCUCAAAGCUUACUCCUUUAUAGGUCUUUGUUUCAAGUCAUGAGUGGAAAGCCUGUCUGAACCCUAUGGGUCUCAUUUGGUGAGUGCUCCCUGCUGGCUCUUACCCACUAGAGUUCCCCUGUGUGUAUCUCCAGGCAGCCUGACAGCCCAAACAUCUGUCUGACUUCCCUAGACAGCAUUUUGUCACAUUUGAAUUGAAAUUAAGAGUGCUGUCAAUUCACUUAGUACAAACUCAGAGGAGCAGGAAGAAGGUUCAUCCAGAUUGAAUGGUUCUGAAUUUCCAUCUUAAAAACUACUGCUAGUACUUAAGCACACAAAUGUGAUUGAAUUGGUCUGGAUUUUCCAUAGAAUCAGAAAUAUAUAUGUCAAUUCCAGGUGGCGCUAGUGGUAAAGAACUUGCCUGCCAUUGCAGGAGAUGUAAGAGACACAGGUUCAAUCUCUGGGUCAGGAAGAAACCCUGGAGGAGGACAUGGCAACCCACUCAGUAUUCUUGCCUGGAGAAUCCCCAUGAACAGAGGAGCCUGGCAGGCUGUAGUCCAUAGGGUUGCACAGAGUUGAACACUACUGAAACGACUUAGCAUACAUAUAUAUAUGUAUAUAUAUGUAUGUAUGUAUAUAUAUAUAAGGAGAUUUAAGGAAUUGACUCAGUUAAUUGUGAAGGCUGACAAGUCUGAAGUCUGCAAAGGAGGCCAGCAGGCUGAAAUUCAACCAGCAGUUGACACUGCAGUCUUGAGGCAAAAUUUCUUCUCUGAAAAACCUGCUUUUGUUGUUCAUAGCAGCACUUUGUAUAAUAGUCAAGACAUAGGAGCAACCUAAGUGUCCAUUGACAGAUGAAUGGAUAAAGAUGUGGCAUAUAUACACAAUGCAAUACUAGCCAUAAAAAGGAAUGAGAUAAUGCCAUUUGCAGAAACAUGAAUGGACCUAGAGAUGAUCAUACUAAGUGAAAUCAGACAGACAAAGACAAAUAUAUGAUAUCACUUUUGUGGGAUCUUAAAAAUAUAAAUGAACUUAUUUAUAAAAACAGAACAAACUCACAGACAUAGAAAACAAACAUGGUUUCCAAAGGGGAAAGGAGCAGUGGGGAUAAAGUAGGAUUAACAGAUACACACUACUGUACAUAAAACAGGUAAGCAUCAAGGACCUACUGUAUAGCACAUGAAAUUGUAUUCAGUAACUUGUAAUUACCUCUGUGUGUGUGUGUGUGUAUAGGUAUAUAUACAUAUGCUGCACUGUGCUUAGUUGCUCAGUCACGUCCAACUCUUUGCAAGCCCACUGUGGCCCGCCAGGCUCCUUGGUUCAUGAAAUUUUCAGGCAAGAAUACAGGUGCACCAUAUGUAAAAUAGCCAAUGAGAAUUUGCUGUACAGCUCAGGAAACUCAAACAGGGGUUCUGUAUCAACCUAG
ensembl:lncRNA